CGACGUGAGUAACCUGCCUCUAAGAGGGGAAUAACAUUCUGAAAAGAAUGCUAAUACCGCAUAACAUAUAUUUAUCGCAUGGUAGUUAUAUCAAAGAUUUAUCGCUUAGAGAUGGACUCGCGUCCGAUUAGUUAGUUGGUGAGGUAACGGCUCACCAAGACUGCGAUCGGUAGCCGGACUGAGAGGUUGAACGGCCACAUUGGGACUGAGACACGGCCCAG
rnacentral:rRNA from 1 species